rnacentral:tRNA from 1 species
GGCGAUGUAGCUCAGUGGUAGAGUGUUUGGGUAGCAUCCUCAAGGUCCCGGGUUCCAUUCCCUGCACUUCCA